rnacentral:lncRNA from 1 species
CUUCCAGUUUCCCUCAUUUUCGUAAGAUCUUUUCUUCUUUUCUAUGAGCCAACAAGAGUUUCACCCGAGAGAGGGAGAGAGAGAGAGAGGGAGAGAUGCCUGCGGGGCUAGUUGAGGUGAUAUAAUGAUGCCAGUUCAGUAAAUUACGUAUAAACCUGUCUUUAGAACGCUAUGGAAGAGACGUAAUUUGACACUCCAACAGGACGUAACAUCAAAAGAAACUAAUCCCCCCCACCCCCGCUGUCCUUCCACUUCUUUCACGCCCCCCCCCUCACCCCUCUCAUCCCUCACCUCCUCAUCUCAGGGAAUCAAAUGUUAAAAGGAAAGCCUGAAGCACUAGUUACAGGUUACCUUAUUUGAAAAUUGUGACAAUCUCUCUCUCUCUCUCUCUCUCUCUCUCUCUCUCUCUCUCUCUCUCUCUCUCUCUCUCUACCUACAUGAAUUUGACUGAUUUUAUGAUAAUACUAAAGGAAAGUCAAAGUAGUAACCGUGACGAUCUGACAGUAAUGAUAUACACACGUUCUUCCUCCGUAUGUUUCAGUAUGAAGUCACUAUGAAAGUCUCAUAAUAUUGAAGUACAGUAUUAAUUCCUCGUCUUUCCUUCUUCUUCUUCCUCAUGGGCCGCUACACACUAUUGCUAGCAACCCGACCACUUUAAUAGGUUUCUGUUGAAGUGUCUCAGGUUUUUAAGAGUUUUUUUUUUUACUGAUGUAGUGACCAAUUAACAAGAUUUACACUCUAUUAACAGGAGAGACUAAACUCUUGUGAACCCGGGCUGAUCAUCUCUGCGGCCUUGAAGACUAUAGUCGUGGUGAGAGAAUAAAGAGUUUGUGAACAGGGACCUUUAAAUCAGUCAGGGAGAAAGUUAGUUAAUUGACCGAUCCUUCUUUAAUGCAUCGUGGUCACUGGUACUCCAAUAACAAACGAGUGAGUUAUAGAAGGAAAAAAAAAUAAUAAAGUCCCGGAGGUGAAGAAUAAAGAAAUAAGCAAUACAAGGAAAGAAAAAAAAUUAAGACGAGAGGUGAAGAAAACAAAUUAGGUAUACAGGUAAGAAAUAAAGUAGCAGAGGUGAGGGAGCAAAACAAAUUAAUGGCGUAGAAGUGAAGAAACAAAACAAAUAAUCUUGCAGGUAAAAAUGUAAAAAAAAAAAAAAAAAAAACUAAUAAAUGAGCGAUGUAACUAAAAUAAGAACUACGAUGUAACUAAAAUAAGAAAUAGUUAUAUGAGCGGAGAAACAAACAAAUGAGGUGUACAAGUAAAACAAAGUCGUAGAGGGGAAGAAAAUAUACAAUGAAAUACAUUAUGCAGGCGAGUGAGCGAGUGAGUGAGCGAGCGUACCUAUACCACAAACACGUCAUUCACCUAGUCAUGCUGAUCACGUGCUGCACUCGUGACGGCCAGCCAUUUGAAGAGUUCGUAGCCCGAUGUAUGGGUAAAAGCUACCACCGUAUUUUGAAGCAUCUGUACCUCACCUUUACUACAUUUAAAAGGUUGUAGUUGAAGUUACUGGAUGUUUUAGGAGUGUUUUUUUGCGGUUCUAGUUGCAUUUGAUAAACUUUCUGCAUUAUUGACAGAAAGAAAAUAUUGUUGAGAACCUGGUUUGUCAUGUCUGUUGUCUUAGAAAAUAGUCGCGGUGAUGGAGUAAAGUUCUCACACAUUCUGUUUUGUUGGGGUGGUGACCAGGCAAGGAGUGACCACAAUGAAAGGGUGAACAGAUAACAGGGACUUUCAAAUAUUACAUUAACUUAACUUGAUACUACAAAGCACAUUCUUGUAAGCCCCCUUCUUACUUGCAGACUCUUAAUCUCUACAGUCCUGGGACACAUUUGCACCACGAGUUUUCCGUAUGAUUAGACGAUUUGAUUUACAUUAGGAAGGAUUUGUGGAGGUCAGAGGAUUAAUGACCUGAGUCUUCACUAUUCUAUAACCCACAUAAGUUCCUGAGGCUGCUUAACAUCGCCAAAUAGUAAGUAGGAUGAAUGUAACGCAUCAUGGUACUGGAGGGAUUAAGAUUUCCAUCGCAUAUCUAAGUGAAAAUAUUGAUAACAGGAACCCUCAAAUAUUACACUAACUUCAAACUACAAAAUAUAUAUAUGCUUUUUAAUCCCUUUGUUAUUUGUAGACUCUUAAGGUUUCCGUCGCAUAUCUGAGUGAAAGUUUAAGAGGAAACGCCCUUGUCUGAAAACCAAGCAAACUCAACUGGAAGCAACUGUGAUACUCGUGGGAGAAGAAUUGUAUACAAGCAGGGCUGCAGGAUGGGAUGGAAUGGGAUGGGCAGGUAUUUCCUUGCCGCCUGAGAUCAAGGUAUAAAGAGGCCUGCCCACUUGCCAACCUGCCAACACCUGCCAAGCUGUAUCCCGUGUACCCAAAGGCCUCGUUAAACCCCCUCCACCGCUGCGAACCCUCCCUUCACUGCACUAGUUGUUAUUUUUUAUGUAAGAGGGGAAAUCUCGCGAAGGGCAACAGAAACUAUUAAAUAAAAAGCCCCACUUCGAUGCCAGUCCCGAGCAGGUUCGAGAGAGAGAGUGUCAAAAGAAUGGGAUGGAUAAAUAGUCUUGAAAGAAUCUAGUAAAUGUCUUAAAACCUCUCUCUUAAAUUAUUAUGUCCAUUAGCAUGCACUCUCGGCGUCCUGCUAGGGGUGUGGUCUGUCUCUUCACCUCUGAUGUUCGUUUAGUAAGUGAAUAUAUACUUAAGAGUUUAAUUUCUUUUAUUUGUUUGUCUGUUGCAUAUAUAAUACCUUUUUUUUUUCUCUCUUUCCUUCUCUUUCUUGUAGGAGGGAAACGGUGCAUGUGUGACUCGUGUUUGGAAGGGAAGAUAAAUAGUAAUUGGUAAUAAAAAGACAAGUUGUUUGUUUCUGAGGUCUUGUUUUCUGUACGUACCUCAGUAUUGAGACACAUUUUUACCUU